GACGAACUCUGGCGGCGCGCCUAACACAUGCAAGUCGAACGAGCGAGAGAGAGCUUGCUUUCUCGAGCGAGUGGCGAACGGGCGAGUAACGCGUGAGGAACCUGCCUCAAAGAGGGGGACAACAGUUGGAAACGACUGCUAAUACCGCAUAAGCCCACAGGUCGGCAUCGACCAGAGGGAAAAGGAGCAAUCCGCUUUGAGAUGGCCUCGCGUCCGAUUAGCUAGUUGGUGAGGUAACGGCCCACCAAGGCAACGAUCGGUAGCCGGACUGAGAGGUUGAACGGCCACAUUGGGACUGAGACACGGCCCACACUCCUACGGGAGGCAGCAGUGGGGAAUAUUGCACAAUGGGGGAAACCCUGAUGCAGCGACGCCGCGUGGAGGAAGAAGGUCUUCGGAUUGUAAACUCCUGUUGUUGAGGAAGAUAAUGACGGUACUCAACAAGGAAGUGACGGCUAACUACGUGCCAGCAGCCGCGGUAAAACGUAGGUCACAAGCGUUGUCCGGAAUUACUGGGUGUAAAGGGAGCGCAGGCGGGAAGACAAGUUGGAAGUGAAAUCUAUGGGCUCAACCCAUAAACUGCUUUCAAAACUGUUUUUCUUGAGUAGUGCAGAGGUAGGCGGAAUUCCCGGUGUAGCGGUGGAAUGCGUAGAUAUCGGGAGGAACACCAGUGGCGAAGGCGGCCUACUGGGCACCAACUGACGCUGAGGCUCGAAAGUGUGGGUAGCAAACAGAAUUAGAUACCCUGGUAGUCCACACCGUAAACGAUGAUUAGUAGGUGGGGGAGGAUUGACCCCUCUCAGUGCCGCAGUUAACACAAUAAGUAAUCCACCUGGGGAGUGCGACCGCAAGGUUGAAACUCAAAGGAAUUGACGGGGGCCCGCACACGCAGUGGAGUAUGUGGUUUAAUUAGACGCAACGCGAAGAACCUUACCAAGUCUUGACAUCCUGCGACGAUGCUGGAAACAGUAUUUUCUUUCGGGACGCAGAGACAGGUGGUGCAUGGUUGUCGUCAGCUCGUGUCGUGAGAUGUUGGGUUAAGUCCCGCAACGAGCGCAACCCUUACUGUCAGUUAUUACGCAAGAGGACUCUGGCAGGACUGCCGUUGACAAAACGGAGGAAGGUGGGGAUGACGUCAAAUCAUCAUGCCCUUUAUGACUUGGGCUACACACGUACUACAAUGGCGUUAAACAAAGAGAAGCAAGACCGCGAGGUGGAGCAAAACUCAGAAACAACGUCCCAGUUCGGACUGCAGGCUGCAACUCGCCUGCACGAAGUCGGAAUUGCUAGUAAUCGUGGAUCAGCAUGCCACGGUGAAUACGUUCCCGGGCCUUGCACA
rnacentral:rRNA from 1 species